AUUUUGAUAAUUUACCUUAGCCUAUUAAACACUAAAACACGUUACCAACAUCGGACGCUCUCCAGCCAACAAACAUUAUCAAUGUACAAAGAAACAAUGAUCGGAGACGUAGAGAAAAUGUUGGCGGUAGGCCUGAUCUGGGGCGCCACUAACGCCGCAAUGCGCCGUGGCGCACUCCUUUGGGACCGAUAUCUCAAGUCCACUCCAAACUCAGGCGACCCACCUCGCAAAUUCGACCAAAAGCUCCUCAAUUCCUUAUCCAAUUGGCUAACCCUCCUUUUGUUUUGGCAAUAUUCGAUCCCUUUCUUCAUCAACCUCUCCGCCUCCGCCACCUUUUUCGCUAUCUUAGGCCAGGCUCCGAUUUCGCUCGCCGUCCCCGUCACCAACGCGACCACGUUUGCUGCCACCGCCGUUUUUGGAAUCCUAUUGGGUGAGGAGACCCGGAUCGGUCAUGCUCUGUUGGGGGAAGUCCACCAGUUAGCUGGGGAUUUGGUGGCACAUUGAUUGAUACUCACUGGCCCAUCCCACUUGCAAGCUCUUGCCCUGAACCUGUGGAAUCGGGCAAUGAAAGGUGAACUGUUCCAGUCAAUCUUGACUAGCCCACCUCUUGUUGCCCAAUUGUCCGCAUUCCAUAAACUGGCAUGUACCCUCAUGCCCUGCUUGUUCGGAAAGGCAAUGCCGUCCUUCUCAUAGUUUCUGAAAACACGGAUUGGCAGGUUGUCGAUGUACCACCUGAAACGAUCAAGUAUUUUUUCUUAGUUUCAUGAGAACAGUGAAAUGCCUUGAGACUUGUAAUUGCACAUUUUGAUUGCCUUGGAAUUCACUGAUAAAUUGACAACAGACGAAAAAUAGCCUGCAUUUGCUAUAUGCUUGAGCUAUAUUUAUAAUGAAUAUAUUUGGAGAAAAGACACAUGAUAUUCUAGCAUAACUGAAGGGGAGCUAACUUACACAACUUCAGUGGGAUUCCAGUGUAUGGUGUAGUUGUGGAAAUCGGCAGUCUGGUCAAACCACAGGACGAAAGGCCACUGAAUAUGAAGCUUUGCCAACGACAAUCAAAGGUGAUGUUUGUUAGAAAUGUUAGCUUUACACACUAUUGCACUUACAUAGUAGGCUGUGACUGUUCCAGCUGAGUUUCCAGGUACCAACUUGAUUAGCAUUUCAAUGCUUCCAAAUAAGAAUGACCUUUUCGAUUUAACAUCAGAACCUGAAAAAAUAUGCAGCAUUAUAAUGUCGAAGGAUUAAAUAAUGUGUUUUGAAUUUAAUAUUUGUGUCUUUGCAUUAGCCAAACGAGUCAUUUAAUCAAGCGCUUAUCGCAAGGUUACCUGAAGUUUGAUCCAACACAAGUUGGAGGUCUUCACCAUUGCCUGCAAAACUUGAAUGAUGGGCACCCCAGUUUAUGUACAUGCUCUUGGGAAAAUUUGCUUCAACAAAACUCUGAUCAACUACUACUGCAAUGAUGAAAAGAGCCAAAAGCAAAGCUUUUAAGCUAGGCAUUUUUGAUUGCAUUGAAGAAGCUGGCUCGGGUAUUUGUUAGUCAAUGCCGUUGAAAAGGGAUGAUUUUCUUCAUUGUUCUGGACGGCUUUAUAUAAAGCAAGUUCCAGCAAAUGUGCCUUACUCAGACUGAACCUUGUGUUAUAAUUUUUUUUAAAAGAAAAAUAAAAUAAAACUUGAAAUAUGUUGAACUGAA